AGUUGCACUGCUGGAACAUGUCUGUGGAGCUGAAUUCAUUGAAUUCGAUGAUGGAAAGUAAUCGUCAAGCUCAGCGGUUUGUUGAGCGGUUAAUGGGAGUUUUUGCAAGACAUUAUUCCAAAGACUACAUCCCUUUAACGUCGAGCUUCAGUAUCAAAUGUUCUAUUUUUUCUAAUUCUAUGUACUCUAACUUUAAUGUACCGUGCUGUUAACAUGGCAUAGAUUUUUCCGUUGAUUCGUUUACAAAAAAUAUCAGAAAAUACUUGCACAUUACAAAAAAGGGGAGCUAAACACAUUUUAAAAUUAUCCGGUUAUAACUGUGAACACAUCAGUUUUCAUUAAUAUUUCGUGUUUUUCAAUAAAACAAUCAAAAAGUUAGU
ensembl:antisense_RNA F32F2.2 ncRNA